ensembl:lncRNA
GUAAUAAUGAGAGCCAGGUGUGUGUAAUGAUGAGUGCCAGGUGUGUGUAAUGAUGAGUGCCAGGUGGGUGUAUUAAUGAGAGCCAGGUGUGUGUAAUGAUGAGUGCCAGGUGUACGUAAUGAUGAGUGCCAGGUGUGCGUAAUAAUGAGAGCCAGGUGUGCGUAAUAAUGAGUGCCAGGUGGGUGUAAUGAUGAGUGCCAGGUGGGUGUAAUGAUGAGAGCCAGGUGUGUGUAAUGAUGAGUGCCAGGUGGGUGUAAUGAUGAGUGCCAGGUGGGUGUAAUGAUGAGUGCCAGGUGUGUGUAAUGAUGAGUGCCAGGUGUGUGUAAUGAUGGGUGCCAGGUGGGUGUAAUGAUGAGUGCCAGGUGUGUGUAAUGAUGAGUGCCAGGUGUGUGUAAUGAUGAGUGCCAGGUGUGUGUAAUGAUGGGUGCCAGGUGUGUGUAAUGAUGAGUGCCAGGUGUGUGUAAUGAUGAGUGCCAGGUGGGUGUAAUGAUGAGUGCCAGGUGUGUGUAAUGAUGAGUGCCAGGUGUGUGUAAUGAUGAGUGGUGCCAGGUGUGCGUAAUGAUGAUUCCCAGGACAGGUGGUUAGU